UCUUAGACAAUGGGGGCAACCCUGAUCUAGCCAUGCCGCGUGAGUGAUGAAGGCCUUAGGGUUGUAAAGCUCUUUCAGCUGGGAAGAUAAUGACGGUACCAGCAGAAGAAGCUCCGGCUAACUCCGUGCCAGCAGCCGCGGUAAUACGGAGGGGGCUAGCGUUGUUCGUAAUUACUGGGCGUAAAGCGUACGUAGGCGGACCAGAAAGUUGGAGGUGAAAUCCCAGGGCUCGACCUUGGAACUGCCUUCAAAACUAUUGGUCUGGAGUUCGAGAGAGGUGAGUGGAAUUCCGAGUGUAGAGGUGAAAUUCGUAGAUAUUCGGAGGAACACCAGUGGCGAAGGCGGCUCACUGGCUCGAUACUGACGCUGAGGUGCGAAAGCGUGGGGAGCAAACAGG
rnacentral:rRNA from 1 species